rnacentral:rRNA from 1 species
GGAUCCAGACUUUGAUUAUGGCUCAGGACGAACGCUGGCGGCGCGCCUAACACAUGCAAGUCGAACGAGCGAGAGAGAGCUUGCUUUCUCAAGCGUGUGGCGAACGGGUGGAGUAACGCGUGAGGAACCUGCCUCAAAGAGGGGGACAACAGUUGGAAACGACUGCUAAUACCGCAUAAGCCCACAGGUCGGCAUCGACCAGAGGGAAAAGGAGCAAUCCGCUUUGAGAUGGCCUCGCGUCCGAUUAGCUAGUUGGUGAGGUAACGGCCCACCAAGGCAACGAUCGGUAGCCGGACUGAGAGGUUGAACGGCCACAUUGGGACUGAGACACGGCCCAGACUCCUACGGGAGGCAGCAGUGGGGAAUAUUGCACAAUGGGGGAAACCCUGAUGCAGCGACGCCGCGUGGAGGAAGAAGGUCUUCGGAUUGUAAACUCCUGUUGUUGAGGAAGAUAAUGACGGUACUCAACAAGGAAGUGACGGCUAACUACGUGCCAGCAGCCGCGGUAAAACGUAGGUCACAAGCGUUGUCCGGAAUUACUGGGUGUAAAGGGAGCGCAGGCGGGAAGACAAGUUGGAAGUGAAAUCUAUGGGCUCAACCCAUAAACUGCUUUCAAAACUGUUUUUCUUGAGUAGUGCAGAGGUAGGCGGAAUUCCCGGUGUAGCGGUGGAAUGCGUAGAUAUCGGGAGGAACACCAGUGGCGAAGGCGGCCUACUGGGCACCAACUGACGCUGAGGCUCGAAAGUGUGGGUAGCAAACAGGAUUAGAUACCCUGGUAGUCCACACCGUAAACGAUGAUUACUAGGUGUUGGAGGAUUGACCCCUUCAGUGCCGCAGUUAACACAAUAAGUAAUCCACCUGGGGAGUACGACCGCAAGGUUGAAACUCAAAUGAAUUGACGG